AAAGCGGGUGGCUCCGCCCCGGUGUGGCUGGGCCUGCGGGAGCGGAGCGGCGUGAGGGGUCCUGAUGACAUCUUUAUAUUGAUUUCUCCCUUCCUGUGGAGAAGGAAGCAUCAAUGGGAAAUAUAUACCUAGGAGUAUGUUCUAGUGGUUUUCCCUUAACAGGAGAAGCCUCUUUGUUUCUGUUAAGGAAGUAACAAAAACCUCAGUUGUUUCAUGCUCUGAUUUUUGAGCACUGCCUAGAUGAGCUGUGAAUGUGCCUUGGGUUCACUAAAGAAUUUUUAAAAGACUUGCAAAGUCCUGGCAGUAGGAUACUGAACAACUCCAGUGCUGCUGUUAAUGUUGAUGAAAUUGUGCUGAGCAACACCAAAGCAUCCUGAGGGCAUAUGUGGUACAUGACUAUAAUCACAAAUUAGUAUGUAAGUCCAAAGGUUGGUUUAAUAAAGUUGGUGCUCCCUGAAAAAACUUUUCUUGUCAAUCUUUAACCCAUCAUGGUUUUAAGAACAGUUAAAAAGCAGAUAAAUGGGAAUUUUUCUAUAACCACAAUUGGUUUUAUAGCUUUAUUUUAGAGCAAGAAACCUGACAAAUGAGUGUUUAUUUGGCUGCUAAGAACAGGAAGUUUCAAAGGAGUCAAAUACAAGUUGGCAUCCUGCAGCCAUCUCCAGGAACACACAAAAUCUGCCAGGUGAAGAAGGAUAUUGGAGAUUUUUAUCUUCUGAAGCAGAGCUAAAGUGGAGGGAAAAUGAGAUGCCUGGUUCAG